rnacentral:rRNA from 1 species
GUCCCAGACUCCUACGGGAGGCAGCAGUGGGGAAUAUUGCACAAUGGGGGAAACCCUGAUGCAGCAACGCCGCGUGAAGGAAGACGGUUUUCGGAUUGUAAACUUCUGUUCUUAGUGAAGAAGAAUGACGGUAGCUAAGGAGCAAGCCACAGCUAACUACGUGCCAGCAGCCGCGGUAAUACGUAGGUGGCAAGCGUUGUCCGGAAUUACUGGGUGCAAAGGGAGCGCAGGCGGGAAGCCAAGUCAGCUGUGAAAACUACGGGCUUAACUUGUAGACUGCAGUUGAAACUGGUUUUCUUGAGUGAAGUAGAGGUUGGCGGAAUUCCGAGUGUAGCGGUGAAAUCCGUAGAUAUUAGAAGGAACACCGAUAGCGUAGGCAGGUUACUGGGACGGUUCUGACACUAAGGCACGAAAGCGUAGGGAGCAAACGGGAUUAGAUACCCUAGUAUG